GGGAAUAUAGCUCAGUGGUUUAGGGCUUGCCUUGUGUGCUAGAGGCCCUGGGUUUGAAUUCCAGUGUUACAA
rnacentral:tRNA from 1 species